GUCUGACGGAGCACGCCGCGUGAGUGAUGAAGGUUUUCGGAUCGUAAAGCUCUGUUGUUAGGGAAGAACAAGUACCGUUCGAAUAGGGCGGUACCUUGACGGUACCUAACCAGAAAGCCACGGCUAACUACGUGCCAGCAGCCGCGGUAAUACGUAGGUGGCAAGCGUUGUCCGGAAUUAUUGGGCGUAAAGGGCUCGCAGGCGGUUUCUUAAGUCUGAUGUGAAAGCCCCCGGCUCAACCGGGGAGGGUCAUUGGAAACUGGGGAACUUGAGUGCAGAAGAGGAGAGUGGAAUUCCACGUGUAGCGGUGAAAUGCGUAGAGAUGUGGAGGAACACCAGUGGCGAAGGCGACUCUCUGGUCUGUAACUGACGCUGAGGAGCGAAAGCGUGGGGAGCGAACAGGAUUAGAUACCCUGGUAGUCCACGCCGUAAACGAUGAGUGCUAAGUGUUAGGGGGUUUCCGCCCCUUAGUGCUGCAGCUAACGCAUUAAGCACUCCGCCUGGGGAGUACGGUCGCAAGACUGAAACUCAAAGGAAUUGACGGGGGCCCGCACAAGCGGUGGAGCAUGUGGUUUAAUUCGAAGCAACGCGAAGAACCUUACCAGGUCUUGACAUCCUCUGACAAUCCUAGAGAUAGGACGUCCCCUUCGGGGGCAGAGUGACAGGUGGUGCAUGGUUGUCGUCAGCUCGUGUCGUGAGAUGUUGGGUUAAGUCCCGCAACGAGCGCAACCCUUGAUCUUAGUUGCCAGCAUUCAGUUGGGCACUCUAAGGUGACUGCCGGUGACAAACCGGAGGAAGGUGGGGAUGACGUCAAAUCAUCAUGCCCCUUAUGACCUGGGCUACACACGUGCUACAAUG
rnacentral:rRNA from 2 species